rnacentral:rRNA from 1 species
UACGUAGGUGGCAAGCGUUGUCCGGAUUUACUGGGCGUAAAGGAUGCGUAGGCGGACAUUUAAGUCAGAUGUGAAAUACCCGAGCUUAACUUGGGUGCUGCAUUUGAAACUGGGUGUCUAGAGUGCAGGAGAGGUAAGUGGAAUCCUAGUGUAGCGGUGAAAUGCGUAGAGAUUAGGAAGAACACCAGUGGCGAAGGCGACUUACUGGACUGUAACUGACGCUGAGGCAUGAAAGCGUGGGGAGCAAACAGGA